GUGUAGCUCAGUGGUAGAGUACGUGCCUGGCAUGCACUGGGCCCUGGAUUUGGUUCCCAGCAC
rnacentral:tRNA from 1 species